CAGGCCCUACGGGGUGCAGCAGGCGCGAAAACUUUACAAUGCUGGGAACAGCGAUAAGGGAACCUCGAGUGCCAGGUUACAAAUCUGGCUGUCGUGAUGCCUAAAAAGCAUUAUAUAGCAAGGGCCGGGCAAGACCGGUGCCAGCCGCCGCGGUAACACCGGCGGCUCGAGUGGUAACCGUUAUUAUUGGGUCUAAAGGGUCUGUAGCCGGCCGGAUAAGUCUCUUGGGAAAUCUGGCAGCUUAACUGUCAGGCUUUCAGGGGAUACUGUCUGGCUCGAGGCCGGGAGAGGUGAGAGGUACUUCAGGGGUAGGGGUGAAAUCUUGUAAUCCUUGAAGGACCACCAGUGGCGAAGGCGUCUCACCAGAACGGACCUGACGGCAAGGGACGAAAGCUAGGGGCACGAACCGGAUUAGAUACCCGGGUAGUCCUAGCCGUAAACGAUACUCGCUAGGUGUCGGCCACGGUGCGACCGUUGUCGGUGCCGUAGGGAAGCCGUGAAGCGAGCCACCUGGGAAGUACGGCCGCAAGGCUGAAACUUAAAGGAAUUGGCGGGGGAGCACAACAACGGGUGGAGCUUGCGGUUUAAUUGGAUUCAACGCCGGAAAUCUUACCGGGACCGACAGCAACAGAAGGCCAA
rnacentral:rRNA from 1 species